rnacentral:miRNA from 1 species
GGCAUGACACCUAGGAUUUGAGGCC